AUUGAACGCUGGCGGCAUGCUUUACACAUGCAAGUCGAACGGUAACAGGGUGCUUGCACCGCUGACGAGUGGCGAACGGGUGAGUAAUGCAUCGGAAUGUACCGUGUAAUGGGGGAUAGCUCGGCGAAAGCCGGAUUAAUACCGCAUACGCCCUGAGGGGGAAAGUGGGGGACCGAAAGGCCUCACGUUAUACGAGCAGCCGAUGUCUGAUUAGCUAGUUGGUGAGGUAAAGGCUCACCAAGGCGUCGAUCAGUAGCGGGUCUGAGAGGAUGAUCCGCCACACUGGGACUGAGACACGGCCCAGACUCCUACGGGAGGCAGCAGUGGGGAAUUUUGGACAAUGGGCGCAAGCCUGAUCCAGCCAUGCCGCGUGUCUGAAGAAGGCCUUCGGGUUGUAAAGGACUUUUGUCCGGGAGCAAAUCCUAGCGGUUAAUACCUACUGGGGCUGAGAGUACCGGAAGAAUAAGCACCGGCUAACUACGUG
rnacentral:rRNA from 1 species